CCUGCCCCUAGAGACUCUCGAGUUGCUGCUAUGUCACAUGUUUGUCAGCAGGUGGCAGAGAGGAGACAGGCUUGCCAUCUGAAUGAUUAGUAAACUUACAUU
rnacentral:snoRNA from 1 species